GAUCAUGGCUCAGGAUGAACGCUGGCGGCGUGCUUAACACAUGCAAGUCGAACGAAGCAUUUUAUUUGAUUUCCUUCGGGACUGAUUAUUUUGUGACUGAGUGGCGGACGGGUCAGUAACGCGUGGGUAACCUGCCUUGUACAGGGUGAUAACAGUUGGAAACGGCUGCUAAUACCGCAUAAGCGCACAGCAUCGCAUGAUGCAGUGUGAAAAACUCCGGUGGUAUAAGAU
rnacentral:rRNA from 1 species